UACGAAGGGUGCAAGCGUUACUCGGAAUUACUGGGCGUAAAGCGUGCGCAGGCGGUUUUGUAAGCCAGAUGUGAAAUCCCCGGGCUCAACCUGGGAAUGGCAUUUGGGACUGCAAGGCUUGAGUGCGGCAGAGGAGACUGGAAUUCCUGGUGUAGCAGUGAAAUGCGUAGAUAUCAGGAGGAACACCGGCGGCGAAGGCGGCACUCUGGGCCGGUACUGACGCUGAGGAGCGAAAGCGUGGGUAGCAAACAGG
rnacentral:rRNA from 1 species